GCCGGCGUGGCGGAACUGGUAGACGCGUCGGACUCAAAAUCCGAUGAGCUCUGCUCAUGUGGGUUCGAGUCCCACCGCCGGUA
rnacentral:tRNA from 1 species